UACGUAGGGGCCUAGCGUUGUCCGGAAUUAUUGGGCGUAAAGAGCUCGUAGGCGGUUCGGCAAGUCGGAUGUGAAAUCUCCACGCUUAACGUGGAGGGGCCAUUCGAAACUGCUGUGACUCGAGUCCGGUAGGGGAGUGUGGAAUUCCCGGUGUAGCGGUGAAAUGCGCAGAUAUCGGGAGGAACACCAGUGGCGAAGGCGAGUCCCUGGACAACUCCUGACACUGAGGCACGAAAGCUAGGGGAGCAAACAGGUAGUA
rnacentral:rRNA from 1 species